rnacentral:lncRNA from 1 species
GUGCCAAAAACAAAAAGGUAGUGGUUGUGUCACUACAGACCAGACUAUUGUAGUUUAAAAAUUAAGUAUUGUAAAACCCACAAAUGGUAUUAGCCCAGCAUUUCCAUAUAGUUCUAAUUCAGUGUAUUUUAAAUUCCUGAAGGUCCCUGAGACAUCCAGGAUAACUAGCCAUCAGGUCUCGUAGUGUAGCUGAGUCCGUUGGGCGACACGCAGCCGAGGCUAACUAGCCUGGUCAUCUCCUGGCUUCCUUCUGCAUUUUGCUCUAGGUUCCUGGAGUGGGCGGACAGAGUGACAGGUUGAAACGUUACCCUGUUUCUCUUACUUAUAGCAUGUCCUAUUUUGUAGGGAGUGUUCUCUUCUGAGGGGGCAGGUGUUGGGAGUAAUUCUCUCAGAGCUCAGAUUCAUCGAAUGGCCCCAUCUUUGGGCGAGCGCACCCAGUAAUGGCGAGAAGUGGCUGCAGGAAGUUUCAGGAUCAUUGGUGGGGAGGCAGAGGCGGCCACGGGUGAGAAAGUCUUCUCGUCAUCUUUGAGGUUGACAGGUAGAAGAGGCUGGCUAGACAUUGAUGACAAAUGGAUCCAACCCCUGCAUUUUCUUUCUUGGAUGUUGGCCCUUCUGCUGCCCCAAGACCCAACAACAGAGAAGCCCAGACUGAAGGGCCUCACCCCCAUAUCUACUCUUAGGCACGCUCCUGAUUAUUUUGUCUUUUAGAACAUCCUGCCUUUGUCCUCCCAUGGCUUUCCAGACCUAUGUCCCCACCCCCAGCCAGGAUCACCUCAUUUCCCCAGAAGACUGGCGUGUCAUGACAUGACAUGAAUUUAAAAAUCUCCCCAGCACAUGGAACAGUGCUAUGUCAUCAAUCCAAAGAGGCUUUCUCUCUUCCUCUCAUGUCUUUAAAGCCCAGGGGACCUGCCAAAAGACAGGGACCUCCAGGGAGAAUGCAAAUUACAGUCAGAACUGUUCCAUAGAUCAAAAGCCCUUCUAAUAACAGCAUUAUUUCUGUUAACCCCAUGCUUUUUUCACAUAGAAAAAGACCAAAAAUUAGGCUUUGGGAAGAACCGACAGUAAUGUGGUUCCUUUCAAACCCAACGUGUUUUGUUUUCUUUAAAUAAACACUGAGGAUUAGAAUGCUAUAUAUAAUGAAUACACAAUUCUCUUCCUGCACAAAUUCAUUGACUCUCAAUUGUAAUGAUCCCAAGCAUAUAAAAAUCGACCAUUAAUCAGGCAGGCAGUCUUUCAAAUGAAAGAUAUUGAUGUAGAGCUAUUUGAAAGUGAUUCAAGUCAGUUCUGUUCUUUGGAAAAAGAAUAUCAAGACAUCAGUAGAAAGCCCUCCCAACUCCGGAUCCCUUAUAGAGGGUUCCUCUGACAUCCCAGCCUGAGAUCUGAGAUCCGUUGAUGCCAAAGAGUCAGAAUUUCUGAACCCAAAACCAGGCCUGAGUUUCACCUGACUCAAGUCGGAGCUGGCAUCCGUAAUGGUACUUCCAUGACUCUACGUGGCUUUCUCCCCUUGAGAGGGCCCCAACAGGUACACGUAAAUGCAGACACUCACGUUUCUGUCGACGGGUAACAGUGCACACAGGCCCAACUUAAAAUAGUCUGUUGUAAGAAAAGAGUCUUCCAGGGGAUGAAUUCUACCCUGGAAACCUUGGGGAGCCCCCAGAAAAUAAGCUUCAUUGUCCUUACCCCUGCAGGUCCCAGGCCACUCCUGGCUUCAAUGCUCUGAGAAGACAAGUCCCUAAUGGGUCUCUUUUUCUGCCAGUGUGGCUUGCUUUCCUGAGAGGUGCAGGAUUAUAACCUCCCCACUCCUCCUCCGCCCUCUGCGAAUCUUACUUCGAAACUGCAGCCAGCACCAUGACCAGAUGUCUUGUGGCCUAUACCUGGUUUCUCUUCCCCAUUGCAGAGAGCCUGAGAAGUUUUCAUAUUCAGCUGCUCUGAGAGAACCAUUAAAAUUCACCCAGUGCCGCAAAAUCAGUCACAUCGACUCACAGUUAUUUUCAAGGGAGAAACAAGAAAAUUAUACCUUGUUUACAAAUGAAAUAGUUUCACUUAAAUGGGAUUCUCGCCAAGGCAGUUAAUUAGUCAAAAGAUCCAUAGCAGCCAUAUAGUCCCGCAUUGUUUAUUCUAUUUGAUAUGUCUGCCAAUGUGUAUUUAAUAUUCUACGUCCUUCUCAGGAAAUGACAAAUGCCCUGAAUUCUUUGCAAAUAGAAUUGCUAAUGAAAAAGGGGGGUGGUAAAGGUUGAUGUUAAUUAAAUGGUGAUUAAAAAUUUAUCUCCUUUAAACCUAAAAAGUGCAGCUCUAAUAAUCAGUUGUCAUAUAAAUAAAUACCUUGCACUGAAAUCCCAUACAGUUUAAGACCUAAAUAAAUACUAAUUUGAGAAACCUAAGUAUCUUUCAGAAGAGCUGAAUAUAUUCGUUAACUUCAGGCACAUCCCCAUACUGUUUCCUUGUGCGUAGAUGUGGCUUGUGAAUCCUUGCAGAGGGCACAUGAAUUGUUUCUGAAGCAGAAACUGUUUGUACGAAUCGCGGCUAUAGUGGACAGAAUUGGGAGUUCUAGGGGGAGAAAAAAAUGAGUAUGUGGGAACAAAACUCAUUGGUUGGUGUUUAACAGGAGUUAAGGAUUCCACGUGAAGGUGGUUUUCAAUGCAAAAGCAGUAUUUUCAUUUGAGACAAAAUUAGACCUUCUGGAUGCCCCGUUUUCUUUUGGCCAACAGGGUCGGAAGUGCUGAAUGAGAGGGUUGGUGGGGUCUACACCAACGCGUGGUUGUGCUUUUCCAUUCAACCCCUACACAUCGUACUGUGUUCACAUCUAGUCGUAGCAAUGAGGGCAGCUUGCCACCUGAUACACAUCGGAGGAGAGAAAAUGCACUUAAUCCUGUGAAUACCAAUGCUCGUGUACACAUGUACAUACUAUACAUGCCUGAUUUCUACCACUGACACGUAAAGUGUAUUAUCCAAAUAAAAUUGUAUAUAAUGUAAAGUUUAUGUUAAAAAUUAAGUCAUGAUGAUGCUUAUUACCAUGUGGAAAACCCAUUCUGAUUAUCAAUGGGCUGAUAAUUAGGAAGAGAGGGCGCUAUUGGUUUUUUUUUUCUUUUUUCUUUUUGUUUUGUUUUUGUUUUUAAAUAAUAAUCUCAGUUCUAGGGAGGGAGAAUGGCAGGGCCCAAGUGGGAUUUGGGUGCUGGUGUUCUUGGCCUCUUUUCAAAAAAAGACAUCUGGGGUUAAGGGUGUGGCCCAUGUUCUGCUCACAUUAACUUCUGAAGACAAUGCUGAUAUGGACACGUGGGUGAUUUCUGUAAACCCACCAAAGGGCACAGUCUCUGUUUCAAUUCCUUAUCCUCUUCUCCAUGCCCACUUGUUCUGUGCCUGGAAGUACUCUCGAUAUGGCAUCAGCUAAAGGUGCCUGUCCAGAAGGGUCUUAGAAAAAUAGAACUUACAGAACUACACCAAGAUCUGGGGGAAGGGAGAUGAGAAAACUAGGAGAUUGGGCUCCCAAAGGGACAGAAUCGCUAUGGGAUCGUUGGAUUGACAAUAUCAGAGCCAGGUCUAGAAACCAAGACCUUCAUGCAUGAUCCAAUUAAUUCCUCGCCUGGUUCCCUUUGCCAGGCUGACUCAGUUCUAGGUUUCUCUCAAAAGUGCUCUCCAGGUACCUCUGGGAUAAGAGCCAGAGAACAUCGUAGAAUUGCCCCUGCUUUCUUUGCCUCUUGCCUUAUACAGACCCAUACAUCCCCCUUUGGAUUUGGUUUUCUCUUAAGCUCCCCAGUACUCCCUGCCUCAGAAUCCUGGAGAAGAGAAAACUUUUCUCAGGGACCUAAUUCCCUGGGAAGAGCCAACAAGGGAUAUAGUUUAAAACCUCAAACCAAAGAUGAAAGCUGGUGGUGAUCAUUGAGAUAAUAGAGUUCUAGUUCUCUCGAGCCAAGGAUGAACAAAGGACACUGAUCAGCUGAUAGCACUUGACUGAGUAUCUACUCUCCUUUUAAGGCCAAUUUGAGGUUGGGAGAUGCAAAGGGGACAGAAAAUAUAGUCUCUUCCCAUAAGCAGCUUACGGUCUAGAAAUUGUGCUCCCUAACACUAAAGACAACUAAGGGUCCUUGAAACACAAACACAGACUGUGUGUAAAAACUAGAAAUGAGAAAUCAAGUUCUUACCAGGAAAUGAAAAUCUGGUUCCAUGACCAAACAAUCCAACAACCCAUCCUUCCCUAAAGCCGUACAUAACUCUGGAGAAUAUAGUUGGUGCUCCUGGAGAGAUAUCCUUGGUUCUUGAACCUUGAUUAUUCAAAGACAGUAUCUGGGAAACCCAGGAGCAUCCAAACAGGUGACCAGACUUGCCCUUCUGCAUUUGUGGUUCCACUGGGUUCUCCAGCCCUUGCCAGAUCCUGCCUCCUUCCAGCCCUGCAUUAUGGCAUGGGCUUCAAGAAGAGGUUGAAAGAAAUCCUCCAAGGGAUUAGAAAACAGACCGCGAUGUAAAAAGCCUAUUUCCUGAAAGCUUUUUUGUUUGAUUUUUAUUUUUGUCUUAUGAAGAAUACCUUUGAUUGUUCAGGGUAUAAAUGUAUCAGGGAAGGGAGUGGGGGGAAAUCCUCUUUGAGUCCCAAGUGCCUACUGUCUGGCUGACAAAAGAGAGCGUAUCAGGUUCCCUAGAGACAAAAUGGGGCAUAGAGAUGGUGAAAGGAGUCAAGAUGUGUUUCGGGAAAAUGGCAAGGUGCAGAGGGAGCUUCUUUUCUCUGUCCGUCCUAUCCCGUGCCUUGCCAGAAUGUGAGAUACUCUGCUUAUCCCACGUAUAUGCCUUGGGUCAGCACAUGAGUUUGGAAGUAUCAAGAUGCAUCCACAUUGAGUGUAGACUGAUUCCAGGCAUAUCCUAGACUGAAAUCCUCCAAAUAACCAUAGGAUAGAAGUACAGUUGCUCCUAUUUUAUAGAUAAGGAAACUGAGGCUCAGGUUGGUCUCAGCCUCAUCAGCAGCAGGAGUUUGCUAAUAAAUCCCUAACAUUGGGUGAAUUCUCAAAGUGCCUGACCUCCCCCAGGGAGGUCAGAAUAAAAGUUGGAAAGAGAGGUAGGCUGUUUUGAGGUCCCCUGGGCUCUCUCUUGCGCUUCAGCCUCUGUUGAGAGGAGGUUUGUUAGUGUCCCACCCCUCGUCGUCUGGUUUGGGGUGUAUCGAGAACUCCAGGGGAUCUCACCUCUGUUCCCAUCCCUUCUGACACUUGAAUGCCGUUUGUGUCUCUCCCCAUCUGCUUGCACUCUGCAUUCACUUGUUUGGUUCCUGGGGAGUUAUUUUGUCUACUUAGCAUGUGCCUAAUUUUAACUAUCCCCUUCCAAAUCUCUCUUCUUUUUCUCAGUAGAUAUCAGGGUUAAUUCCAUUAAACAUUUGCAAAGUAGUAGACCCUCCCAUGUGUGUGGGCACACACACUUCCCUCUGCUACCCCCCCCCCCAAUCAAAGCUCUCCUAAACAGUGUGGCCCAUUUUCAGAAAGGUCAUGGUAUUUGCAAGUGACCGUCCCUGCUAGGUCAUCACUGGCACCAAGAUAACUGCUGAACCACUGAGUGCUCAUUCAGUUUGCCUCACUCAAGAGCACUAAAUUGGAAUGUUUCCAUUAGGCUUUCUACGAGUCCAAAAUGGUGGCAUGCGUUAUGCGUUGGGGAGGCAGCGACACUGAGCCUGUGCAUGCCUUUCUUGCACUGCUCAUGUGUCCUAAGCCACACUCCUCCUGCCAGGCAUUUCUGUUUUCUGUGAACUGGGGCCACAUUAGGUCCAUUUCAUAGGUGAGGAAACUGAACUGGGACUCGAAGGGAUGUUUUUCUGGGAGGUUCUGUGAUCCAGUCCUUCUGGAGGGUCAGUUAAUCUAACCAAGCACCGUUGUCAUUGUCCCCGAGAAAUUCUUUAGCUGUUGACAUCUUUCAAGCUGGCAGUAAAAAGUCUCAUAAGCCAAAAAAUAGUUAUCAUUAUUUGAUACCUAUUUUGAGAUCCCAUCAUUGGGUCUGCAAGUGAACGAGAACAUCCUCCCAGGGCUGUUGAGCUGUGGAGAAACUGGACCACUCAAAAGAACCAUCUGGCCAGUAGGCUUUCUUCUCUGGGGCUGGAUUUCAAAGCACAUAGCUCUCCAGGGAGCCAGAACCAAACUGUUUCCAAUGGACUCGUUUCUCAGAUUAACUUCCUCAAGUAAGGUGUCAGCAGUAUGCAGAGACAAACAAAACGAAACUGAAAUUAUCACUCAUAUAUCCUUCUUAGGUACCAGGUCCAUGAAACGAUAAGUUUGCAUCUCUGCAAGUCUAGAACAUUCCUCAUUAGCCAUAGCCCUGGGUCAUAACCUCCUCCAGUUAAUUCUCUCCCACACCUUUGGGAAGGAUUUAAGAUGAGCCUUCAAAAGAAUAUUAACGUAACACGUAGCCAAUACCACAGCUGCCUUUUAAAUUAAUAAGGUUAAUUGUUCUCCAGCAAACAUAAGUUUGUCUUUGCCAUUUUAAAUGCUUCUCAUUGAUCUGACAUUUUGCUGUUUUAAGCUUUUAAAGGGCUCAAAUCAAAGACUAUUGAUAGCUGAGCAAAUAGUGAAGGUCCAGAAAUAUAAAAACAUUGUCAGUUUUCUCCAUGAAAAAUAAUCAUAGCCUUUCGAAUUCAACUGAGGUUUUAACAUUACAUUACAUCUAAGACCUAUUGAAUUAUUUCUAUUCUCAGUUUAGCUAACUCAAAUAAAUGAGCAGUAUUGACUUUUUAAAACCCAUUUUAUUUAAAAAAAAAAAAACUCUUAAGUUUAUUAGGUUUGUAGACACAGCUCUGAAGCCAUGGCCGCUAAGGAAAUGCUCCAGUUGAGAAAUUGAAGAUUCAGACUAUUUUGGGUCAAAUUCAGGUGAUCAUCUUUGAAAAUUCUAGUGGAUUUGCAAAGAUGAAAGGGGCACUUGUAACAUUCACGUUCCCCAUGUUUUUCACUAGGAAAGGAGGCCAAUUGCCUAUUUUUCCCCCAAGUCAGAGAUAAGGUCAAGGAUAACAUUUUCAUAGAAAAGUCAGGAAACUACUCGAUACCACUAAUUAUGUGGCCAGCUGUGGCUCAGAUGCCUUCCAAGCCUGAAGUUCUCCAAAGAUUUCAUUACCGGUUGUUCUGGAGCUCCAAAUCUUAAUCUUGUUCAUUCCCCUGCUAAAGCCAACUUAAAAGCAUAUACUUGCCAAAUUAUUUAGUCAGUAGACUUCACUGUAGUUGAUCACAAUAGAAUGUUUGUGCGUAUGUGUCUAUGUAUAGUAUAUAUAUUUCAAGCUGAAUAUUCAGAAAGAAUUAGGUGAGUCUCACUGGUGGUUUGAAUAAGAAACAGAUAAGUCACAAACAGUGGCCUUCUCAGACAGAAAAAAAAGAGGGUAAACCCUUCAUAUCCUUGAGUCACGUUAUGAGACCUGUUGCGUACAUAAUACACAAGCUGGUCAUUGCCCACAGGAAGUCAUGGAUAAAAGCAGCUUUGAAGACCCAUGUCCGAGUCCAUCCUUAACCCAACAUGGGCAGGAUCAAACUCCAUAUGCAGAGGGUUCCCAUUCACAGUGACACUCAAACACAGUCCAAAACCCACGUCAGAACUGGCUUGAUCUCUUGUAUGGUGGAGCCCCAUGCAAGCUGUAUGCUCUACUCGGUGGUUCUCAUUUGGGAAUAGACAUUCACUUACCAAUCACGGCAGUUUAUACCUGUCAUGUUUUAAUCCACUGCAUGAGGAAGUGCUGAUAACUGUAUUCAAUAUUUCCAAGCAUAGCUACAAAAUUACACGUUUGCUUAACACCUUUCUAUGAUAGAGGAAGUAUAUACUAUGGUCGUCUUCUUGUAGUAUGUCUUUUCUUUUCGUUCAACGUGUUAUCAACUGUUUUAAGGAAUGGGGUUUGAAAUGUGUGUGCAAACUGAUAUGUACAUAACUCCCAAGGCAACAAAAGUGCCCAGUCCAAUGGUGUAAAAAUGUAAAUACAGGAAAAUCUCAUUUUUCUAAUAAAAAUAAUUUCUGCCGAUUGAUAUGAAAA